GGUCUCUGAGAUUCUUACUGUUCUGUUCUUCUCAGUCUCUGUUAUGGACCUCUCUUUCUCUGCAUACAGGGCAAACUUGAUUUGCUGUAAGACUGCAACUGUUAAUCCCAUUCUUACUUCCCAAUUGCAAGACAAAAGCAGCAUACACACUGUGCCUGAUGUGAAGUCAAUUUCAUUCCGACCCUUUAGGAUUUAAAAACAAAAACUGUUUUGCCAGCA